AGUGAACGCUGGCGGUAGACCUAACACAUGCAAGUCGAACGGCAGCACAGUAAGAGCUUGCUCUUACGGGUGGCGGGUGGCGGACGGGUGAGGAAUACAUCGGAAUCUACUUUUUCGUGGGGGAUAACGUAGGGAAACUUACGCUAAUACCGCAUACGACCUACGGGUGAAAGCAGGGGAUCUUCGGACCUUGCGCGAUUGAAUGAGCCGAUGUCGGAUUAGCUAGUUGGCGGGGUAAAGGCCCACCAAGGCGACGAUCCGUAGCUGGUCUGAGAGGAUGAUCAGCCACACUGGAACUGAGACACGGUCCAGACUCCUACGGGAGGCAGCAGUGGGGAAUAUUGGACAAUGGGCGCAAGCCUGAUCCAGCCAUACCGCGUGGGUGAAGAAGGCCUUCGGGUUGUAAAGCCCUUUUGUUGGGAAAGAAAAGCAGCAGGUUAAUACCCCACUGUUCUGACGGUACCCAAAGAAUAAGCACCGGCUAACUUCGUG
rnacentral:rRNA from 1 species